UGUUCCUGUCUUUGUGUUUGCACCAGAUAGGGCUGUUUCGGUUUUCACAUUUCAUUAUUUUGUAGUUUCUUCAUGUAUAGUUUUUUCCUUCAUUAAAAUAUCAUGAAUCGUCAUCACGCUGCAUUUUGGUCCGACUCCUUCACCACAAGAAAGCCGUUACAAUAACUGUGUUUGUGCAAAAUGUUUCUGUGAAAAAACAGUGACCAGCUCAAAUGCAGGAUUGUUGCGUCAAUCGAAACUGGACGUUCUAAAUAAGCAUUAAAAUCACACUAGUUGGAGCGUAUGCUCCAGGGACCACAGAAGAAUGAUCACUCUGGUUACCUGUGAAAAAGGUAUGCCAACCUCACGUGUUGCAGUGUGAGUAGACUGGACUUAUCUGAGUGCUGACCUCUAUGCAUGAUAGGCUGGAUACAAGGAUGGAAGACAUGUCAGAAACUCAACUCAAUCAAGGCCAGCUGUCACCCAGCAAAUACAAAUACACUGCAUUGCAAAAAAAGGCACAUGACACAUGCAAUGUUAAUUUCUUCCCAUGAGAACAGACAGACAGAGUACUUAACUGAUUAUUCCCAUUUUCAGACUGGAAUAAAGCUGGGGUCCUACCUGGUGUCAAACAUUAAGCCAUCAUGAAUGGUAGGGCUUUCCACAUCAGUUGAGCUAUUCAUAAUUAAAGGUACCAUAAAAAUAGCAGGGUAUUUGGCCUUAUUUGGAGCACUGUACCGCCUUUACCCAAAGUUAUU